rnacentral:misc_RNA from 1 species
CACCCCUCAAACCUCGGUUUGAUGUUGGGCACUGCCUAGCGGUGGCAUGCCUAAAAUUCAGUGAUGGUUCCUUAACCGGCCACAGGCGCACAAGUGUCGCAAUGUGAAAAGUUAGGCACCAGACCCCCGGUAUCGUAGAUACCAUUCUGAA